rnacentral:rRNA from 1 species
UCAAGCAAGAAAGAGCACAAGGAGAAUGCCUUGGCACUAGGAGCCGAUGAAAGACGUGGUAAGCUGCGAAAAGCUUCGGGGAGGCGCAAACAGCCAUCGAUCCGGAGAUAUCUGAAUGGGGAAACCUACUUGAGCAAACCUCAAGUAUCCAUGCGUGAAUCCAUAGCGUAUGGAAGGGAACGCUGUGAACUGAAACAUCUAAGUAGCAGUAGGAGGAGAAAGAAAACUCGAUUUCCUAAGUAGCGGCGAGCGAACGGGAAAGAGGCCAAACCGAAGGACCUGGUUCUUCGGGGUUGCGGACUGCAAUUAGCAUUGCUGAGAGAUAGACGAAUGGUUUUGGGAAAGCCAGCCGUAGACGGUGAAAGCCCGGUAGACGAAAUCUUGAAGCAGCGAGCAGGAUCCAGAGUACCACGAGACACGAGAAACCUUGUGGGAAGCCGGGGGGACCACCCCCCAAGCCUAAAUACUCCCUAGUGACCGAUAGUGAAGCAGUACUGUGAAGGAAAGGUGAAAAGGACCCCGGGAGGGGAGUGAAAGAGAACCUGAAACCUUGUGCUUACAAACAGUCAAAGGCCUACGGGCUGAUGGCGUACUUUUUGUAGAACGGUCCGGCGAGUUACUAAUGCCAGCGAGGUUAAGUGGUCAGAAGCCACGGAGCCGAAGGGAAACCAAGUCUGAAUAGGGCGUAGAGUUGGUAUUAGUAGACCCGAAACCGGGUGACCUAUCCAUGUCCAGGUUGAAGGAACCGUAAAAGGUUUUGGAGGACCGAACACACAUGUGUUGAAAAACGUGGUGAUGAGGUGUGGAUAGCGGAGAAAUUCCAAUCGAACUCGGAGAUAGCUGGUUCUCCUCGAAAUAGCUUUAGGGCUAGCCUCGAGCUGGAGUCUAACGGAGGUAAAGCACUGAACUGACGCGGGGCCCAAAAAGGUUACCAACUCAUAUCAAACUAAGAAUGCCGUCAAGAUACCCUCGGGAGUCAGUCUGCGUGAGAUAAGUCGCGUGGACAAAAGGGAAAGAGCCCAGACCGACAGCUAAGGUCCCAAAGUACGUGUUAAGUGGAAAAGGAUGUGGGAUUUCAUAGACAACUAGGAUGUUGGCUUAGAAGCAGCCAUACAUUUAAAGAGUGCGUAAUAGCUCACUAGUCGAGAAAACCUGCGCCGAAAAUGUAACGGGGCUAAAACACGACACCGAAGCUACGGAUUCCUUACUAAGUAAGGAGUGGUAGAGGAGCAUCCUGCAAGGACGAAGCCAAAGUGAGAGCGAUGGUGGACGAAACAGGAGAGAGAAUGCCGGAAUGAGUAGCGAGAUACAUGUGAGAAACAUGUAGGCCGAAUAUCUAAGGAUUCCUGGGUAAAGCUAAUCUUCCCAGGGUUAGUCGGGGCCUAAGGCGAGGACGAGAGUCGUAGUCGAUGGAUAACAGGUUGAUAUUCCUGUACUACACAUAAUCAGAACUGUGGGGACGCAGGAGGAUAGGGAAACCGGGGAAUGGAAAGACCCGGUCAAGCGCAAAGCUGUGGGAGAUAGGCAAAUCCGUCUCCUGUAAGUGAAGCGUGAUGAGGACUGAAAAAAAGUAAGGAAGUUUCCGAAUCCACACUGCCGAGAAAAGCCGCUAUUGCGUUAUGUGUACCCGUACCGUAAACCGACACAGGUAGAUGAGGAGAAAAUCCACAGGCCGACGGGAGAAGUGUUGUUAAGGAACUCGGCAAAAUGACCCCGUAACUUCGGGAUAAGGGGAGCCUCGCAAGAGGCCGCAGAAAAGAGGCACAAGCAACUGUUUAGCAAAAACAUAGGUCUAUGCGAAACCGUAAGGUGAAGUAUAUGGGCUGACGCCUGCCCGGUGCUGGAAGGUUAAAAGGAGAGGUCAGCGCAAGCGAAGCUUUGAAUUCAAGCCCCAGUAAACGGCGGCCGUAACUAUAACGGUCCUAAGGUAGCGAAAUUCCUUGUCAGGUAAGUUCUGACCCGC